UUAUUUACCUGGCAGGGGCGGAGGUGUUCCACGCAGGCCGAGGCUCAGCCAUUGCACACCGUUGGUGCUGACCCCUGCAAAAUCCCCAAGCGUGGGAACCUCAAACGUGUCAUUUCUGGAUGUGGGGCACUGCGUUUGCACUCUCCCCAG
rnacentral:snRNA from 1 species